rnacentral:rRNA from 1 species
CGUAGGUGGCGAGCGUUGUCCGGAUUUACUGGGCGUAAAGAGCGCGCAGGCGGCUGGUCAAGUCCGAUGUGAAAGCUCCCGGCUUAACUGGGAAAUUGCAUCGGAAACUGAUCGGCUGGAAGGUGGGAGAGGGUAGCGGAAUUCCCGGUGUAGUGGUGAAAUGCGUUGAUAUCGGGAGGAACACCAGUGGCGAAAGCGGCUACCUGGCCCAUUCUUGACGCUGAGGCGCGAAAGCUAGGGGAGCAAACGGGAUUAGAUACCCCGGUAGUCCUAGCCGUAAACGAUGAACACUAGGCGUAGUCGGUAUCGACCCCGGCUGUGCCGUAGCCAACGCAUUAAGUGUUCCGCCUGGGGAGUACGGCCGCAAGGCU